CGAGCUCGCCAGACAGUCGCCGCCGGUUUACCGGGGGAGGAAAGUCCGGGCUCCGCAGGGCAAGGUGCCAGGUAACUCCUGGGCGGCGUGAGCCGACGGAAAGUGCAACAGAAAGCAGACCGCCUAAGUGCUCGUGAUCAGUUCACGGGCGCCGGUAAGGGUGAAACGGUGCGGUAAGAGCGCACCGCGUGGCUGGCAACAGUCCACGGCGAUGGUAAACCCCACCUGGAGCAAGACCAAAUAGGAGUCCUAUGGCGUGGCCCGCGCUGGACUCGGGUAGGUUGCUUGAGGCCUGUGGUGACGCAGGCCCUAGAUGAAUGACUGUCCACGACAGAACCCGGCUUAUCGGCGAGCUCGCCUU
rfam:Marinobacter antarcticus strain CGMCC 1.10835 genome assembly, contig: Ga0079884_103